AGAAGCCUGAUGAACCCAGAAUGAGUGAGAUGUGGUAAGUUGUGCUUUAGGUUAGGGCGUCAUCUAACUGUUGGGCCAGAAAAUUUAAAGGGGAGAAGUGCAUCCUAAAGGGAGUUGCAGUUUCCUCGGUUCUGGUAGGACUACAAGUCCCAAUAUGCACCGCUCCCCCGGGCGACCUGAGUGUCUCUUGAGUAAAUGUGACCCUUGAAACGUCUACGUUAGCAGCUUAAUGGUUUCUCCAGCCUUGCGCGUGUUUCCAAGUCCCUAAACGGGAUGGUUUUUGAAAGGCUCGAACACUUGACAAGUAGGAAAGUGGUAUUUUCUUAGCCUAAGUUAUCUUAACACGUGAUUUGAAAUAGUGCUGGUAAUAACAACACACCAGCCCUGCAUUGAGCGUUUGUUUUGGAAAAGAACCUAGGAAUUCCAGAAUGAUCAGAGUCACAGCUACAAACUGAGAUUCAACUCUCAUUGUAUUUUGACACAAGUUUUGUAUUAUAAUUGACAAACAUCUGUUUAUAUGUCUCCCCCUGUAUACCGUAAGCCUCUUUGGAAUACAGAGGAACAGGACACAAGUCUGUCCUUAAUGUCUAGCACCGCACCAGUCCCACCCAUUCAGGGUGUUCUGUAAAUGUUGCAUGAAUGUGUAUAGAAACUCUCCAAAUAGGCCAGGCACGGUGACUCACGCCUAUUAUUCCAGAACUUUGGGAGGCCGAGGAGGGUGAAUCACGAGGUCAGGAGUUCGAGACCAGCCUGGCCAACAUAGUGAAACCCCCUUCUCUACUAAAAAUACAAAAAUUAGCCGGGCGUGGUGGCUCCCACCUGUAAUCCCAGCUACUCGGGAGGUUGAGGCAGGAGAAUCACUUGAACCCGGGAGGCAGAGGUUGUAGUGAGCCAAGACCCCCGUUGCACUCCAGCCUGGGUGACAGAGUGAGAUCCCGUCUCAAAACAAACAACCCUCAAAACUCUCCAAUAGGCCAGGCACGAUGGCUCACGCCUGUAAUCCCAGCACUUUGGUAAGUCGAGGUGGGGGCGGGGGGAUCACCUGAGGUUGGGAGUUCGAGACCAGCCUGGCUAACAUUGUGAAACCCAGUUUCUACUAAAAAUUAAAAAAUUAGCCUGGCAUGGUGGCACGCGCCUGUAAUCCCAGCUACUGGGAAGCUGAGGCGAGAGAAUCGCUUGAACCUGGGAGACGGAGGUUGCAGUGAGCCAAGAUCGUGUCAUUGCACUCCAGCUUGGGCAACAAGAGAGAAAGUCAAAAAAAAAAAAAAAAAAGAGAGAAAAGAAAAUAAAGAAACUCCCCCUUUUGUUGUAGUAUGAAGACUUCAAACUAUAAUAAUACUAGGGUGGGACGAGUACUAGUAAAUUUAUUUCCUUUUAUUUUUACUACAUUUUUUGCAAUGUACAUUUACUUUGUCUGACAAUAAAAAGCUACUUACGAGAUACUUUUUAGUUCAUAAGUGGGAUGAUUGUGUGUUCACACUUGUGUGAGACGUCCCUCCCUCAAACCUUGUUGCGCCAUCAUCUGCACAUUACCCAUCUGAUGUGGGGAAAAAAAAAAAACCCGAAACUUAUUUAAAAAAUGAAUUUCAUUAUGUAUUCCAGGCUUUUCAUAAGAUAAGGGACAAAACUUAAUUUGUCUUUUUUUAAAAUAUACUUAUUUUUUGAGGUCUAACAUACCUACAGUUUGUCUUUUAUUAUUUCAAAUUAUACUUCAAGUGCUUUUUAAUUUUAUAUUUUAGACCCAGAACCAGGAUUGUUGUACUUGUGUGGCUCCCACAUAAAUUCUGUGGCUGGUUCAUAAUUUAACAUGUUUACUCAUUCUAUUUUGCCCAUUUGUUAGUUUUGAAGAGCAUUCCACGUAUUAGAAUAAAACUGAGCAACAAGAUGCGGGGCGCGGUGGCUCACGCCUGUAAUCCCAGCACUUUGGGAGGCCAAGGCGGGCAGAUCAUGAGGUCAGGAGAUCAAGACCGUCCUGGCUAACACAGUGAAACCCCGUCUCUACAGAAAAUACAGAAAAAAAAAUUAGCCAGGCGUGGUGGCGGGCACCUAUAGUCCCAGCUAUUUAGGAGGCUGAGGCAGGAGAAUGGCGUGAACCCGGGAGGCGGAGCUUGCAGUGAGCAGAGCUUGCGCCACUGCACUCCAGCCUGGGCGACAGAGCAAGACUCCAUCCCAAAAACAAAACAAAACAAAACAAAAAACAACAAACAAACAAAAUUCCCUUUGCCUCCAAGAUGCUGCCCCUCACAGAUCAUCUCCUAAUGUCAUAAAAUUCCCCUACUAAGGUUCUGUCGAAUCCUAAAUCUAUUCCUGAUUUAUUGUGCAACUUUGACAUGACUCUGACCUUAUGGGAAGAUUAAUAAGAAGGUGGAGGAGGUGAAAGUAAAUUUUAGGUUGUUUGCCCCUCAUCCUCCUGUUCCUGUUUCCUUACUGCGGGUCUAGAAGGCAGCACUGCAUGCCUCCAUUCCACUUGCUCAAAGUCUCCACAUUCCUUCUACCAAAGGCUCACAAAUCAACCUGCUAAUCCAAGAAAUCCAGGAGAAGGGCCUGGUGCAGUGGUUAACACCUGCAAUCCCAGCGCUUUGGGAGGCUGAGGCAGGAAGAUCCCUGAACUCAGGAGUUCCAGGUUGCAGUGAACUAUGAUCACGCCACUGUACUCUAACCUGGGCGAUAGACCUUGUCUUAAAAAAAAAAAAAAAAUCCCGGAGAAUUAUUGAGUCUAAUUAUCCCCUCAACUAUAAUUGAAUUAUAUCCUUCCAUCCUUUGAAUGCUCACUGACUGUGUGCUUUGGUGGUUUUCUUUUUUAGUUUCUAAAAAAAAAUAAGAGAGAAAGGAUGGCUCUACAAAAAAAAAAAAAAAAAAGUCUUGCUGUAUGCAGCGCCAGUAGUCCCAGUUACCCAAGAGGCUAAGGCAGGAGAAUCGUUGAGAGUCCAGGAGUUCAAGUCCAGUCUAGGUAAAAUAGAUCACGUCUCUUAAAAACCAAAUAAAAAAUUAAAAAUAAAAUAAAGGAAGUCUUUUAUUGUAUAGUUUGCAUUAUUACUAGCAGCAAGAUGUCUUACAUAACCGACGUGCCAUGUGGUUUCUGAGAUUGGCAGGCCAAAGAUAAGUUUUGGUUUUCAAUGCUAGUCUUCAAGAGGAGGGGGAAUUUUUUUUUUUUUUUUUGGGACAGAGUCUUGCUCUGUCACCCAGGCUGGAGAGCAGUGGCGCGAUCUCAAGAAGAGGGGGAAUUUUAUAAGAGUCAGUGGGUGGUGAUAGUUUAAAGAAACCCAAGCAGGCCAAAUUCUGAGAUUCUUGGAAAGAAAAGGAGCAUAUAGGAAGCUAGCUCAGAUUGGGAAAUAAUCAUGCCUCUUGCCCACUCUUGAUUUCUUGAAAUCCUUGUCAUUACCCUCCUCCCCCACCCCAAAUAGACCAAUCUAAAUCCCUAUUCUUGGCCGGGGGCAGUGGCUCACAUCUGUAAUCCCAGCACUUUGGGAGGCCCAGGCGGGCGGAUCACCUGAGGUCCAGCGACCAACAUGGCAAAACCCUGUCUUACUAAAAAAUACAAAAAUUAGGGCUGGGGGCGGUGGCUCAUGCCUGUAAUCCCAGCACUUUGGGAGGCCGAGGCAGAUGGAUCAUGAGGUCAGGAGUUUGAGACCAGCCCGGCCAACGCAGUAAAACCCUGUCUCUACUAAAAAUACAACAAAUUAGACAGGAGUGCUGGCAGGUGCCUGUAAUUCCAGCUACUCUGGAGGCUGAGGCAGGAGAAUCGCUUGAAGCUGUGAGGUGGAGGUUACAGUGAGCCAAGAUCAUGCCAUUGCACUCCAGCCUGGGUAACAAGAGUGAAACUCCGUCUCAUGAACAAACAAACAAACAAAAAAUUAUCAGGGUGUGGUGGCACGUGCCUGUAGUCCCAGCUACUUGGGAGGCUAAGUCAGGAGAAUCGCUUGAACCUGGGAGGCGGAGGUUGCAGUGAGCCGAGAUCACUCCACUGCACUACAGCUUGGGCAACAGAGCGAGACUUCCUUUCAAAAAAAAAAAAAAAAAAAAAUCCCUAUUCUCCCAGGGCCUCUGUCACUAGAUCCACCUAUAGGGGCUUCAGUCCCCACUGCCAACACCGAUAGAUGAGGGAAGUUAGCAGUAAGGGAAAUUCUUAGUCUCAUAACUAAGCCUAAAUCAAGGGGAGUAUGCUGCUUUAAUUUCACAAGCAUUCUAACCUCAUUAUCUCAUAAAAAUAAUAUGAGGGUCUCUGCAACGAAGAUGUUAGUUGCUCUGGAAACUUGCCUCUACCGCCAAGAGCAACCUUGCCUACAGCAAAAUUCAUCAGGAAUAGUAUAGGUUAAAUAGAUAUUUGAUAGCCUGGGGUAGUGACGCAUGCCUGUAGUCCUAGCUACUUCAGAGGCUGAGGUAGGAGGAUCGCUUGAGCCCAAGAGAUUGAGGCUGCGAUGUUCCAUGAUUGGCACCACUGCACUCUAGCCUGGGUUACAGAGGAAGACCCUGUUUCAAAAAAAAAAAGAAUUUGUACAAAUAAUCCAAAUUUAGAAAGAUGUGAACAGGCCGGGCACGGUGGCUCAUGCCUGUAAUCCCAGCACUUUGGGAGGCCGAGGCGGGCGGAUCACAAGAUCAAGAGUUCGAGACCACCCUGGCUAACACGGUGAAACCCCAUCUCUACUAAAAAUACAAAAAAAAUUAGCUGGGCGUAGGUGGUGCAUGACUGUAGUCCCAGCUACUCGGGAGGCUGAGGCAGAAGAAUGGUGUAAAACCCGGGAGGUGGAGGUUGCAGUGAGUCGAGAUCGCGCCACUGCACUCCAGCCUGGGAGACAGAGCGAGACUCCGUCUCAAAAAAAAAAAAAAAAAAAAAAAGAUGUGAACUGGAACUACCGUAUAUUCUUAUUUUUUAUCUCUUCUGCCUGAGGGAAGUGGAAAUAGCUGCUAGAGAGUGACAAAGAAAAAAGAAUUAUAAACACGUGCACACACACACACACACACACACUUUUUUUUUUUUUCUUGAGACAGAAUCUCACUCUGUCACCCAGGCUGGAGUGGAGUGGCACCAUCACGAUUCACUGCAGCCUUGACCUCCUGGCAGGCUCAGGUGAUCCUUCCGCCUCAGCCUCCCAAGUAGCUGGGACCACAGGUACGCGCCACCAAGCCCAGCAAAUUUUUGUAUUUUUUGUAGUGACGGGGUUUUGGCGUGUUGCCCAGACUGGUCUCGAACUCCUGGGCUCAAGUGAUCCACCCACCUCGGCCUCCCAAAGUGCUGGGAUUGUAGGUGUGAGUCACCAUGCCUGGUCACACACACUUUUUAUAUGAGGAAUGUAAGCCCUUUUAAAUUAUCAGGCCCAGGAAGGCAUUAAAAUGAGACACCAUUCAUAUCCUAUUUCUCUCCUUGAACUAUGUAAUCUCUUGAAACUGCUUUCGUGGCUGGGCACGGAGGCUCACGCCUGUAAUCCUAACACUUUGGGAGGCCGAGGUGGGUGGAUCACCUGAGGUUGGGAGUUCGAGACCAGCCUGGCCAACAUGAUGAAACCUGUCUCUACUAAAAAUACAAAAAUUAGCCAGGCAUAGUAGUGGCAGCCGCCUAUGAUCCCAGCUACUGGGGAGGCUGAGGCAGGAGAAUCGCUUGAACCCGCUGGAGAUCGUGGUGAGCCAAGAUCGCACUCCAGUCUGGGCAACAGAGUGAGACUCCAUCUCAAAAAAAAAAAAAAAAAAAGAAACUACUAGCUAUAUUCGCUGUUUCUACAAGUAACUAUAAAUUAAUCUAACAAUGCCACAUUCUGGACAGUAUAACCCACACACUGUAGCUCAAUAAUGUAUAGCCAAUCACUAAUCAAUGUUAUUUCUGUGAACUGAUGAGAAUUCCUGACAAACAAUUUUGUAUAAGCCCACUCCUUAUCCUCUUUUUGCCUUCAAAAAUCUGCUUGUAGCGCCGGGCGCGGUGGCUCACGCUCGUAAUCCCAGCACUUUGGGAGGCCAAGGUGGGCGGAUCACGAGGUCAGGAGAUUGAGACCCUCCUAGCUAACACAGUGAAACCCCGUUUCUACUGAAAAUACAAAAAAAUUAGCCGGACGUGGUGGCACGCGCCUGUAGUCCCAGCUACUCGGGAGGCUGAGGCAGGAGAAUGGCGUGAACCCAGGAGGCGGAGCUUGCAGUGAGCGGAGAUCGCGCCACUGCACUCCAGCCUGGGUGACAGAGUGAGACUCUGUCUCAAAAAAAAAAAAAAAAAAAAAAUCUGCUUGUAGCAAAGGUCUGAACGGAGCACUUCCCAAGACAAUUUGGAAGUGUGUCCCAGGCAGCUGUUCUCUACUUUGGCCCAAAUAUACUCUAUAUUAAUUCUGAGGCUCAGCUUCUUUUGUUUUAGUUUGACAAGAGAGAUGAAUAAAAAGAGAAAUGAACAACCACAACCUGGGCUACCUCUCGUUAGCAAACACAUAGGCUCCAGGGCCCUACACUGAAUUAAGGGAACGGUCCAAAUUCCAGUAGUAAUUCCCAUGUGAAGAGGAUUAUAAGUCUGGCAAGUAUCAGAGAGCUCAUUAGAAGUAGAUUACAUAAAUCCUACACAUUUCACAAAGUGGGACAUGGGAACCAAGUCUAGCAGUAUAGAUACCAGUUAGAUACCGUGGGCAAAUUAAAAAGAAAUAUCAAUUGUGUAAUCAUUGUAGUCAUUAACAUCAAGUGAAUAUUUAGUAAAGUACUAUUCUAAGCAUUCUGUAUUGACUCAUUUAAUUCUCAUGUCAACCUGAAGAGAUAGAUACUAUUAUUCCCUCCUCCCCCAUUAUUUUCCCCUAUUAUUUUCUAACUUGUACAAGUAAGGAAACUGAGACAGAGUAAAUUUCCUUGCCCAAGUCACAUAGUAAGGGGUAGAGGGAGAAGUUCUUAACUGUUAUAGUAUACUGCCUCUAUACAAGAGAAAAAACGAACCCUCUACACUGUUCUCCAUCUCCACUACCACCUCCUACUCAUAGCAACCCCUCCCACUCAAACCACAAGGAAAGACACAUGACCGAUAAUAAAACUACUCGGUAAGAUUUAUGCAAUAUAUUCUGCUUGCCAGGGAUUGUUCUGUGUAUUUCUACACAGAAUGUAAUCUUUACAAUAUAAUCCCUAGAUUACAGAUAAGGAAACGAAAACAGUAAAGGGCAGUAAUUUCCCAAGGUCACACAGCUAGCUGGGAUUUAAGUCCAUUAUGUCUGGCAACACAGAACACAUGCCCUUUCCCAGGCAGGUCUAUACUGCCUCACCUCUGUUUCCCUAGCUACUGUAAUUGACUCAGGGAUGAACCCCAGCUGGGUCAAUCAGAAUCUUUCUCCAGGAUUUUCUGCUGCAUCUAUCAGGGAACUCUUGCAUUUUUGAAGUAAUUAAACAUUGUCCCUGAACAUAAAUGACCCUUGAGUGUUUUAGGAAGAAUGAAGAAAGAAAAGUAGAGCUGAACUCCAUUUUUGAUAUUUACUACAGGGAGUAAAGGGAAGCCAUGACAACCUCACUUGAACUCUUGGUCCAGUCCUGUUUAAUGUCCAUCCUACCCAAUUAUGUGAGCACAAAAUCCUCCCCACCUACUUUACAUAUAUAUAUAAUAUAUAUAUUAUAUAUAUAAUAUAUAUAUUUAAUAUAUAAUAUAUAUAUUAUAUAUAUUUAAUAUAUAA
rnacentral:lncRNA from 10 species